CAGAAAAGCACAAUGAGUUUAUCUCAACUUACCAAGAGAAAUGAAUCUCUGGAGAAUUGGCAUUAAGAUUAAGUCCUGUGGUUUGGCUUGUCUCUAUUUUGAUGGAUGUCCUCUUGCCUAUGUUCCCGUAGAAAACAGAUUACUUUGUUUUCCCCUGGUGAAUCCACAGCAACUGAUAUGAACCAAGACACAGCUUAAAUCGGGUCACCUGUCCAUGAAAAUGUUACAUCUUUUGGAAUAUGGAUAAAAUAGGUCAAAUUUCAGUUGGACUAAUACUGUUUUUCAGCAUUUCUUAAUUCUGAUGAGUGUAAAUAGUG